ACAGAUUUUUAAAAACUACGUACGAUCUAGCAGAUUGACGAUUUUAUUAUCUCCCUUUGCUAACUCUUUAGUGUUAAAGAUACGAUUGUUUGGGGAAACAUGACAACAUGUCAUACGAGUUGGCGGUUUGAAGACAGACAAUGCCGUUUUGUAACAUUUCUUUAUGGACAAAUACUCCAUGUGAAGAAGUUUCAAAGACAGUUUAUGCGAAUGACUAUAAGAAAUCGGUAGCUAGAUAUUUAUGCUCCUUAAACAAAUCACAUUGCGGGAAAUCCAUGACGCAAGGCCCGCCUGCGCCUGUGUCUAUUUUCACAAUAACACGUUGGAAUUUUUCGGUUGUUUCAUAUCAUCAGAGUUCUUUGGAGUGGAUGAGGAAUACUGCAUGUGUUUUCCCGGUCAGUUGUAUUGGAUAUACGAACCGGAUAUGGGCACAGAUCAUUAACAUUCCGGAUGAGCAACAUGCUUGUGGAAAAAUGCUAUGGCCAGUAUGGGUGGCGGUGCAGUAUACAAGGAAUCUAUUCACUGAAAUUCAAAGAAGAUUCCAUGACUUGCUUGCCAUACAACAAACAACAGAUUAUGGACGUGAUUCCUAGAAUUAGAACUUGAAUGGGUCAGACUUGAAUACAUGCAAAGUCAUGUAACAAUAUUAAAGGUGUUGUACUUCAGGAAAAGGGGAAGCGUAUUUGUUGGAAGAUGGAUAAAGAAAAAUUGGAGCAUGCACUAGACUUCUUUAAAUCCUGCUUUUUUAUCAGGUAACAUCAUUGAGUACAAAAACCUUCACAGUAGACAACUUAUAACCUUUCGACAAGAAAUUGGGACUGUCUGCCAUUCAACCAUUGUACAUAUAUGGAUUUACCAGUCCUGUUGUGAAGAAACUUAUUUCAUCCUCUUUCAAGGGCCAUGUUAUUUAGGAUUUUAACUACUUGUCCUGCAUCACAAGCUUAAAAAGACUUCACAAUCUGGCUGCAGAUGGAACUGCAUGGUUUGAAAUCCUCAUAGGAAUUCUGAGAAUCAUGGAGGCCUAUUAACCAGAUAAUGACAAGAUUUCAUAGCUCGAGGAGUACCAGGAAAAUUUACUUGCAGCAAAAUUGCACAUAAAGAGAGACUCACUCAAGCAUGAAUGUAGAAUAAUUAUAAAGAUGUAGAAUAUAUAUAUAUAUAUAGAUAGAUAGAUAGAUAGAUAGAGAGAGAGAGAGAGAGAGAGAGAGAGAGAGAGAGAGAGAGAGAGAAUUAUAUGGUGAUAUAAUUAAACUCAUUGUCUUCAAUGGGUAUGGCAUGUCAGUAGAGAAUCAUGAUUCAUAUCGUGAUAUUUUUCAAUUACAUACUCGUUUCAGUGCAAUGGCAUUGUACAAAUAAAUAUUUUAAGUGUUGUUAGGGAAAGUGGUUGCUAUGGUGAUAUGUGUAAACAUAUUGUCUUCCAUGGGUCCGACAUGUCAGUAAAUAAUUACAUGUUGAUAUAUUUGUAUUAUAUUCUCAUUUGAAGGCAAUUGGAAUUGUACAGUUUGAAAUGUUUGCUUGUUGCUAGGGAAAAUUGGUUGCUAUGGUGAUAUAGUUAAACCUGAUGUCUUCAUUGGAUUCAACAUAUCAGUAGAAAAUCAUAUAUUGGUAUAUUUGCAUUAGGUUCUCAUUCCAGUGCAAUUUAAUCAUACAACUUUAAAUUUUAUGUGCGUUGCUAAGGAAAAUCAGUUGCUAUGGUGAUAUGGUUUAAGUCUGAUUUCUCCAAUUGGUCUGAAAUGUCAAUAAACUAAAGUGAACCCAGA